GCAUAUCAAUAAGCGGAGGAAAAGAAACCAACAGGGAUUGCCUUAGUAGCGGCGAGUGAAGCGGCAAAAGCUCAAAUUUGAAAUCUGGCACUUUCAGUGUCCGAGUUGUAAUUUGAAGAAGGUAUCUUUGGGUCUGGCUCUUGUCUAUGUUUCUUGGAACAGAACGUCACAGAGGGUGAGAAUCCCGUGCGAUGAGAUGUCCCAGACCUAUGUAAAGUUCCUUCGAAGAGUCGAGUUGUUUGGGAAUGCAGCUCUAAGUGGGUGGUAAAUUCCAUCUAAAGCUAAAUAUUGGCGAGAGACCGAUAGCGAACAAGUACAGUGAUGGAAAGAUGAAAAGAACUUUGAAAAGAGAGUGAAAAAGUACGUGAAAUUGUUGAAAGGGAAGGGCUUGAGAUCAGACUUGGUAUUUUGUAUGUUACUCUCUCGGGGGUGGCCUCUACAGUUUACCGGGCCAGCAUCAGUUUGAGCGGUAGGAUAAGUGCAAAGAAAUGUGGCACUGCUUCGGUAGUGUGUUAUAGUCUUUGUCGAUACUGCCAGCUUAGACUGAGGACUGCGGCUUCGGCCUAGGAUGUUGGCAUAAUGAUCUUAANUNGCCCGUCUUGAAACACGGACC
rnacentral:rRNA from 1 species